AUAAACGAGAAUAAACAAAUCCUUGUGUCAUUCGCCUAAUAUUAACAAAUUUGCAACCAUGUCUUCCAUAAUUCUAAUAAUUAAAUCAAAGGUUGCCAUCUACCCUUUCUUUCUCCCUUUCAAAUUGGCCACAAAACCAAGGCAAAGCCACAUUUCUUCCAUCAUCAACCAUUUCUUUACUCAAAAUACAAAAGAUGAAAAAUCAUGACCAUGGCCUCCAGUUCUUGCUUUUUGAUGUUGUCAGUGGGCCCACAUCACCCUCACCGUCCGAUCAAAUGUCAACGUUUUAGGUUUACCUUACAUCAAGAAGCCAAGCCCCCACAGGAGACACCCAGCUACCAGGUUACUCAUGAGGAAUCAUGACUAUGGCCUUGUUGUGGGUCUAGCUUCCUGGAGGUGCUGUUAUCCAUGAAAAUGAAGAUUACCGAUUUACCUUGGUUUGGCUCUCAAACCCAACCCAAGGUAAAGUUGGCACUGUAUAAUAGUUUUACCAAUCUUGAAGCCUGGAACGACAGUGAAUGCAACUGGUGGGUCAGCUUCUGGUGCAUUUUCGGACGAAAGCAGUGCAUCCUCACAUACACAUUCCAUGUAAACUUCAGAAAAUCGACAGCCGCUGCGUACUUGAAAGAUUGAGGCCUCUGGCUCGAAAGAAAAGGCCAAGCAAUGUAGAAGCCACACUCGCUUUGCCAUUUCAGCAAAUGAGGUGAAGAAGGUAGUGUCAGGGAAUUCACCAGAAUUCACAAGGUUUCUUUGGCUUAAAUUGCCAAAGAAUGAUGUUUCCAUCUGGGGAUGAACAAGUUGCAAGUACUUGGCCCGGCAAAAUUUUGUGCAAAUGUCGAUUUGGGAUUCUCUGCAAGAUGUUCCUUCGCUUUGACAGAUUUUAGUUCUGUGAAUCUCCUGAGAAAGUAAUGUUGCUUGUUCUUUCCCUUUGGCAAAGACUCGCAAGGAAGGGAGAAGUUUGGCAAAUUGAAAGCUUCAAACAUCUCCCUGCAAACAAAGCAUUCAAAUGCAAAACAUUUGUCAUCAGCUCUCCAGUAGACCACGUUUGAUACAAUCGAAUUGGCUGCAGCGUCAAGAUUCCAAUCAGCAGCUUCCAUCUGAUAAAUCAUCAGCUUGACAAAGCUUCGGAUCGACUUGACUGUAAAGCGAACAACUGCUAGGAAAUGGCUAGGACUCAAACCUGAUAGGUGAAGAUUGUCAGGCAUAGACAGCUGU
rnacentral:misc_RNA from 1 species